rnacentral:rRNA from 1 species
CGGGUUUUAAUUAACUUGGUAACGCAGCUAACGCGUGAAGUAGACCGCCUGGGGAGUACGGUCGCAAGAUUAAAACUCAAAGGAAUUGACGGGGACCCGCACAAGCGGUGGAUGAUGUGGAUUAAUUCGAUGCAACGCGAAAAACCUUACCUACCCUUGACAUGUACGGAAGACCGAAGAGAUUUGGUUGUGCUCGAAAGAGAACCGUAACACAGGUGCUGCAUGGCUGUCGUCAGCUCGUGUCGUGAGAUGUUGGGUUAAGUCCCGCAACGAGCGCAACCCUUGUCAUUAGUUGCUACGAAAGGGCACUCUAAUGAGACUGCCGGUGACAAACCGGAGGAAGGUGGGGAUGACGUCAAGUCCUCAUGGCCCUUAUGGGUAGGGCUUCACACGUCAUACAAUGGUACAUACAGAGCGCCGCCAACCCGCGAGGGGGAGCUAAUCGCAGAAAGUGUAUCGUAGUCCGGAUUGUAGUCUGCAACUCGACUACAUGAAGUUGGAAUCGCUAGUAAUCGCGGAUCAGCAUGUCGCGGUGAAUACGUUCCCGGGUCUUGUACACACCGCCCGUCACACCAUGGGAGCGGGUUUUACCAGAAGUAGGUAGCUUAACCGUAAGGAGGGCGCUUACCACGGUAGGAUUCGUGACUGGGGUGAAGUCGUAACAAGGUAGCCGUAUCGGAAGGUGC